rnacentral:rRNA from 1 species
UACGUAGGGUGCGAGCGUUAAUCGGAAUUACUGGGCGUAAAGCGUGCGCAGGCGGCGCGUUAAGACAGGUGUGAAAGCCCCGAGCUUAACUUGGGAAUUGCGCUUGUGACUGGCGUGCUGGAGUGUGGCAGAGGGAGGUGGAAUUCCCAGUGUAGAGGUGAAAUUCGUAGAUAUUGGAAAGAACACCGGUGGCGAAGGCGGCUCACUGGACCGACACUGACGCUGAGGCGCGAAAGCGUGGGGAGCAAACAGG